rnacentral:rRNA from 1 species
CCCUGCUCCUUGCACACACCGCCCGUCAAACCACCCGAGUGAGGUAUGGGUGAGGGCACGAACUCUGUGUCGUGUUCGAACCUGUGCUUUGCGAAGGGGGGUU